rnacentral:rRNA from 1 species
AGUGAACGCUGGCGGUAGGCCUAACACAUGCGAGUCGAACGGCAGCACAGUAAGAGCUUGCUCUUACGGGUGGCGAGUGGCGGACGGGUGAGGAAUACAUCGGAAUCUACUUUUUCGUGGGGGAUAACGUAGGGAAACUUACGCUAAUACCGCAUACGACCUACGGGUGAAAGCAGGGGAUCUUCGGACCUUGCGCGAUUGAAUGAGCCGAUGUCGGAUUAGCUAGUUGGCGGGGUAAAGGCCCACCAAGGCGACGAUCCGUAGCCGGUCUGAGAGGAUGAUCAGCCACACUGGAACUGAGACACGGUCCAGACUCCUACGGGAGGCAGCAGUGGGGAAUAUUGGACAAUGGGCGCAAGCCUGAUCCAGCCAUACCGCGUGGGUGAAGAAGGCCUUCGGGUUGUAAAGCCCUUUUGUUGGGAAAGAAAGGCAGCAGGUUAAUACCCCGCUGUUCUGACGGUACCCAAAGAAUAAGCACCGGCUAACUUCGUG